GUGUUUGUUUCGGCAGCAUAUAUACUAAAAUUGGAACGAUACAGAGAAGAUUAUUGUUGCCCCUGCACAAGGAUGACAUGUAAAUUCAUGAAACAUUUGUUAUGAAU